GCCUAUAUCCAAAUCGCCCUCAAUAUGCCCGAUCUCGAAAGCUAAGUAGGUUCGGGCUUGGUUAGUGCUCGGAUGAGUGACUACCAGGGCUUGCCAGGUUCAGUAGGCA
rnacentral:rRNA from 1 species